UUGACUGGAAUCAAACUCAAAACCCUUCAGUUCUCGGGCUGAUGCUCUAACCAAUGAGCAAACUGACUAGAGCAGAACUUCAUAUAUUUAAAGGGCACAAUCUGAUGCUCUGACAUAUGUAUAUACCCAUAAUGAAACCAUCACUCCAAUCAAUAUAAUGUACAUAUCCUUCGUCCCCAAAAGUUUCCUACUGCCCCUUCCUAGGAAGCCAGUGACCUGCUUUCUGUCACUGUAGCUUGCAUUUUCUAGAAUGCUAUGUAAAUGGACUCUUUUUUUGGUUGCGGGGGAGGUCUGCUUUCUUUCAUACAGCAUAACUGAGUUUCAUACCAAUUGCUGAGUGCAUCAAGAGUUUACUCUUUUUGAGUAGUGCUCCACUGUCUGAAUAUAAUAGUUUAUCCAUUCUCUUGUGGAGAGAUAUGUGGGGUGUUAUAACUAAGGCUGCUAUGAAUAUUCAUAUACAAAUCUCUGUAUGAACAUAUGCUUUCAUUUCCUUUGGAUAGGUACUUAGGAAUGGAACUGAUGGGUCAUAUUUUAGGAAUAUGUUUAACUUUUAAAAAACUGCCAAUUUAUUUUCCAAAGUACUCACACCAUUUUACAUUUCCAUCUGCAGCGUAGUAGACUGCCAGUUCUUCCACAAACCUGCCAGCACUUGGUAUGGUCAGUCUUUUUACUUUUAGACAUUCUAAUACUCAUCUAGUAUCUUGCUGCGUUGUUUUUUUUAAAUAUUUUUUAUUGAUUUUUAGAGAGAGAAGAAAGGAGAGGGAUAGAGAGAUAGAAACAUCGAUGAGAGAGAAACAUCACUGAUCAGCUGCUUCCUGCAUACCCCCUAUUGGGAAUCAGCCCACAACUAGGGCAAGUGCCCUGAUUGGAAAUCAAACCGAUGAUCUCUUGGUUCCUGGGUCCACGCUCAAUCAUUCAACUGCUGAGCCACAUUGCCCGGGCUACCUUGCUGUGGUUUUAAUUGGUAUUUUCCUAACUACUAAUGAUGCUGAACAUCUGCUCAUGUAUGCUCUUUGCCAUCCAUACAUCUUCCUUGGUGAAGUGUAUGUUCAAAUCUUUGGCUCAUGUUUUAUUGGACUGUUUUAUUAUUGAGCUUGAGAGUUCUUUACGUAUUCUGAAUACAAAUUAUUUAUCAGAUAUGUAAUUUGCAACUAUUUUCUCCUAGUCUGUGCCUUCCUUGUCUUUUCAUUUUCUUAGCAGUGCCUUUUGAAGAGCAAGUUUUAAAUUUUGAUGAAGUCUAAUAUAUUUAUUUUGUCUUUUAUGGAUAUUUUUGACAUUAUAUCCCAAAAAACCUUUGCCUCAUUUAAGUCACAAUGCUUUCUCCUAUGCUUUUUUCUCAGAUUUUUGUAGUUUUAGGUUCUACAUUUAGGUCUGUAAUAAAAUUUAAGUUAAUUUCUGUAUAAGAGGUGAGAUUUGAGCAAGGUUCAUUUUUUUGUGUAUGGAAUAUCUGUUCCAGAACCAUUUGUUGAAAAAAAUCCUUUCUUCAUUGAACUGCCUUUGAAUCUUUGUCAAAAAUCAAUGGACCACUUCCAUCUGAGGCUAAUUCUGAACUCUGUUCUGUUCUGAUCAAUGCCUCUACCCUUGCAGCAACGCCAGUGUCAGGAUUCCUGUGGUGUAACAGUAACUCUUAAAACAAGCCCACCAGUUCUCCCUCUCUAUAGAGCUAUAUAGGAUCGGAUGACAGCUAGCUAGAGUGACCGCAGUGAAAAAGAACCGUAAGACACAGCUGCCCAGAGCCUCUCAUUGGAUCUUCUUGUCUCAUCCUUCUUUGACAGGGCAAGGCUGGAGGUGAAAAGGGCAGCAGUUAUAGGAGAAACAGUGAAGAUUCCUAAUGCUGCCUCUAAAGAAUAUUGAGGAUUGUCAGAGACUGGCUGCACAGACAGACAAUGACAAAAAAAGACAAACCACCAUUAGAGAGUUCUAAAGGCACCAGCCUCUUCAUGACACCCUUUUCACACACACGGGUGCAUUUUUUUAUCCUCAAGAAUAAAAUGAUACAUUAGAACACCUUCUUCCAUUACUUUUACUCUUUCUGGAGGACAUAUGGCAGUGUUCUAUGAGGAUUUCUACAGACCUUUCAACCCAAUGGUCCAAUACUCAACGUAAUUGUUACAAUUCCUACAGAUGCCCAUGCUCCUGGCCUGCCACACCAAUGUUUCCCAAAGUCUUCCUCAAGGAACACCAGUCCUGUGAGAUGUUCAGAGCCACCCCUGAAAACCUUCAUGGUCAAAAAAUUUGGAGGAAAAAUCUGCAAAAUUCCUCGUAGACUGUCCAUGUACAUCAGCAUAUUAAAGGCUCUGAGAAGUCCCACAACAAAUAAAUCUUUUUAUUAACAAUUCCCCAGUUUUUUUGGUCACAGAACUCUUUCUUCCCCUAACAUCCUAGAGAAAACGAACUGCUUUGUCCAACAUGCUUUGGGGGAGGUUCUAACCCCGAAUCACCCAAUACGGUAGCCACUAACCACAUAUGACCUUUUAAAUUUGUAUUAAUCACAAUUGAAUAAAAUCAAAGUCUAAUUCCUCAGUUGCACUGACCACAUUGUGUCAAUAGCCACCUGUGGCUAGGUGGCUACCAUAGCGUACAGCACAGAAGAGAACAUUCAGUCGUCACAGAGUUCUACUGGACAGCACUGUCCUAAGCCAAGGGCUGAAAAACCGCAGGCUGCCCUCCGCUUGUUUGUGUAAAUGGUUUUAU